rnacentral:ncRNA from 1 species
AAAAAGCUUAUUAAGGGCAAAUGGUGGAUGCCUUGGGUGAUAGAGGCGAUGAAGGACGUACUAAGCUGCGAUAAGCUAUGGGGAGCUGCUAAGAAGCAUUGAGCCAUAGAUUUCCGAAUGGGGCAACCCAACACGCAGAGAUGCGUGUUAUGUAGGCAACACAGAGUGGAAAAUUUAGCAAUUUAUAGAAUGUAAAACAAGAUUCUAAAAGCAAGAUUCUAUAAUCUUUAGAAUCUAGUUUUUAUCCAAAGUUAAGAUUCAAUGAAUUUGUAAAUGUUAUGGAAUCUAGAUUCUAUAAAAGCAAUAAAAGUUUGGAAUCUAAAAUAGAUUCUAUAAACGUUUUAUACUGAAUCUUUGGAUGAAAGAUAGCGAAACAAUUUCGAGUCGAUUUUAAGGGUUGUAAGGUUAUUGCGAAUGAGACGCACUUUGUCGUGCGUCGCAGUGAGCAAUGUUCUUACUCCCUUAAAGGCGACCGAAAGUGCGAGCGAACGUUCCAUUGUGUGUUGCCUACAAGCGAACCUAGCGAAGUGAAACAUCUCAGUAGCUAGAGGAAAAGAAAUCAACAGAGAUUCUCCUAGUAGCGGCGAGCGAACGGGGAAAAGGGCAAACCGAAUGCUUGCAUUCGGGGUUUAGGACUGCGACAUCCACUUGUAUCAUUUAGCAGAAUUAUUUGGAAAACUAAGCUAUAAAGGGUGAUAGCCCCGUAUGCGAAAAAUGAUACAUAGGUAGCAGUAUCCAGAGUAGGUCAGGACACGUGAAAUCUAGACUGAAGAUGGGGAGACCACUCUCCAACCCUAAAUACUACUAUCACACCGAUAGCGAACAAGUACCGUGAGGGAAAGGUGAAAAGAACCGCAGUGAGCGGAGUGAAAUAGAACCUGAAACCAUUUGCCUACAAUCAUUCAGAGCCCUAU